UUCUCUAAGCCCUUUUUUAUUUUCACAGAAGGCAAAGGCCAAAGACUUUUUAUCUGCGCAGUUCUGUUCAGUAGAAAAUUGUAAAGCCAUAACCAGUAAGGUCACCACAUUUCUUAGCAGUCAUUUACUUUAAAGGGAAUGAAAAACUUGUCAUUAAAUGAUUAUGGGAAAAUUACAGAAUAAGAAGGUUCUCCUCAUGCAGGUGCCCUUGUAGGUUAUUCUUGUCUCCUGCCAGCGAUGACCCAAGGCUUGUCCAUGUGCUUUGACUCUCCAGCACCUGCCUUGCUUUGUCAAGCCAGAAAAAUCUUUGGGUGCUUCAAACUUUCCAAGUGAGCAUUCUCUUCAAACGAUAAUGCAUAAUAACACCAAGCUCCACUACGUGGAACAGAGUCACAGAAUCAUGGGAUCAUAGAAUGGCCUGAGUUGGAAGGGACCUUUAAGCUCAUGCAAAUUCCAAUCCCCCUGCUGCAGACAGGGAUACCUGUUACUAGACCAGGUUGCUCAGGCCUUAAAAACUUCCAGGGAUGGGGCAUCCACAAUUUCUCUGAGCAACGUGUGUCAGUGUCUCACCACCCUCACGGCAGAGAACUUCUUCCUACUACCUGAUCUAAACCUACCCUCUUUCAGACUGAAGCCAUUCCCCUUUGUCCUGUCACUGGAUGCCCUUUCAAGAAGUCCCUCUCCAUCUUUUCUAUAAUUCCCUUCAAGUACUGGAAAGCCACAAUCAGGCCACCCCAAAGCCUUCUCUUUUUCAGGCGGAACAAAACCAACUCCCUCAAGCUUUACUCACAGGAGAGGUGCUCCAUCUCUUGCAUCAUGUUGGUGGCCUCCUCUGGACUUGUUCCAACAGUUCCAUGUCAUUCCUGUGUUGCAGACCCCAGAGCCUGAUGCAGGGUUCAUGUUACAGAUAUUGUCACAUGAUGCAGAUGAGAAAUCAAAAUCAAUCCUUCACACAAACAAGUUAUUACAAUUUGGUUUGCUGCAUGUUAGCUAUAAGUAAAUCUCUUUCUGCUUUGUUAGCAUCUUUUAAGACACGCUAUCUAAGCCCAUGGCAUUUAGCUGUAGAGAAGGAGUAAAACUGAAACCUAAUAACUAAUCUUAACCACAUGAAUUUUUGUAGGGAAAUUCUUAAUAUAUUCAGAAGAUCCCUAUGUCAAUAACUAUAUUUACAGGUUUUAUCUUAGCUUUUAAAAUACUACUUUGAUUUGCUUUUUUCUCUUCAGAAGAAGACACAGAUAUAAACUACUCUUGGGUAAAGGCUAGUGGUGUUGUUAAUAAUAUUAAAAAUACUCACAUGAGUGUAAAUCAUUUCUGUUGAACUUUAAGCAGCAAUAUAUGCGCUCAUCUUUCAAUAUUUUGCCAUUACUGCAUUGGCAGUGCCCCAUAUGCAAGUCUGUCUACACUGAACACAAGAGAUGUAGGAGAGCUGUGCAUCUUUGUGCCAGGGAGGGCACUUUGCUGUCCCAGCUGUGCUCACACCAGCAGCGCCAGGACGCUGCAGCAGCCGGCAGAGCUGGGGCACAGGCUGUUCUCUGCAGGAGGCACAGAGCUGCUGCACCAAGGCACAGCUGCAGCUCAAUCCACCAAAGCCCACAUUAAUAAAAUAUUGAUAUUUGGCUUUUUAAAAAUGCAGAGCACUCUAUUUAAUGCAAGGACAUCAUCCCAGGAAAAGAAAACCCACAUUAGGUUCCUUUCAUGAGUCUUUGGUUUUUGUUUCAGCCCAAAAUACAGAUAUCCUUAGUGAUCAUAAUGAAAAACUGACAACAAAAAGAAGAAUCAAUUGUACAGAGCUUUGUUCUUAUACGAGGAUUGCAAUAUGAUAUCAGAGAAUCCACUGCAAAAGGAGAAAAGAAAUUUGGGAAUAGUUAAUGGAUUGCUGCAUACAUUGCAAAUUAAAACACAGUUUUGACAUGUGCAUUUGCACUGUUUUUCUUAGGAGAUAACUGUUUUCAUUCUUACAAAAAUUACUGCUACCGAAUCAAGCUACAUUUACACAAGGUGUUUCAAGGCAAAGGCAUCAUGUGCAUUUAGUUUUUCAGGAUCUUGUCAUUAGGGGAAAAAAAAAAACCAAAAAAACAAAAAGCUAAUCCUCUUAAAACCUUCCCUGCAUUUUUUUUUUCUUUUUAAUUAUAAAAAUGUGAUUUUUGCAAGACCUUGUGACUUUUCACUAUCUGAUGUAAGCACUUGCAUUAAUGCAAUAAAGCCUUUGGCUCAAAGGGAUCAUGAGAGCAUUUAAGCAAAUGGGGGAGUUUUAAGAAAUCUAAAGUAGUUUUCCUAAAAAGUAGGUUUAGAUUUGGUGAUAAUAUAUAGGCACAGCCCCAUAGCAUGGUCUUGGCAGACUGACAUAGAAAAUAGGCUAUUCCACCAUUCCAGAAGAAACUAAAAAUUCACUUACGUCCAGUUAAUUCAAGGCAUGUGACUUAUAGAGCUGAUAAUUUGCAUUUAUGCAGUUCCUCUUGUUCUAAAAAUCUCAGAUGAAAAAAUGCUAACAGUUUUUGAAAAAAAAAAUCAUAUGAAUUUUGACUGCUCCAAACUAUCAAAAAUACCUCAACAAUCUUUUUUACAUGACAGAGUAAAACCCAAGCUUCUCCCACAUACCAUAAAGAACAUCAAAGAAUUCCAGUGACUUGUUAUUGAAAUAGACUGAUCUGCGUCUGUCUGACUCAGCCUCAUACAUGAGGUGUAUUAAUUAUUCUGGAAAUAAUUUUGAAUAUUACAUUCUUAUUUAUUAUGAAACAGCUCCCUAGGGCUUGUUCUUUUGUGCUGCCUGGGUGUCCUGGGUGUGGGCCUGACACCUGACACCAAAUCAGGGCAAGUACACCCAGUCCCAGUGAUACUGGGGGAACAACCUUAAUCUGGAGCCAGGACUAUUGCCCCUUGACAAUUCAUCUAUACAGACAAAUAAAGCAGAUUUCUUCUUAAUUUGUAUGUUCAUUAGGAAUGAGGAAUUGAAGAAUUCCUCAACCAAAGAAACCUUUUUUGAUGUAUUUAUAGAAAUGUACUGGGAAUAGUAUUUAACCCCCAAAUAUACAAAGAAGUUGAGACUGCAUUUAACUCUUGAAAUUAUAUGCCAAAUUUUCCUGCACUUGUGUCUAUGACUGAAGUGAUUUCAGCAGAGGUUUACUUGUGUAACCAUGCUGAAUUUGGUUUAUUAUUCUACAUUUGAAGCUAAGUAGUGCAAAUUGCAAAAUGAAAUAUAUCCAGUAGAUGUCAUCAUCCUGCAUCCCAUGUGCCUGAUAAUCCAGUUUAGAUUUACCUUUUUUUAAUUGAACUGAAAUCAAAAGUAGGAGUCCUAACAGAAAUAAGUUUUCUGAAAAACUUGUGUAAAACAUACUAAUUUGAUGUGAUACACCUUACUAACACUAGGAUUUCUGGAAUGUUUACAACCUGGAAGUGUUCAUGCACAAAGUAAUUUACAGAUAUCCAUGACUGCACUCAUAUGCCCAAAUAACAUCUGCAAAAUAUGUCAGUAAAUGCACGUAUUUAAACCUGAAAAUCCAUUUGAUAGGUUCCAUUUAAUCCACAAGUCCUUAAAGCAAUAUAAAUAUGUACUACAGCAUCACCUCUGAUCCUGAAGCAUGUACUGCAAAAAUACAUUUAAGAUCCUCUUUACAGAUGAAAAUAUUAAAUGAAGUUGAAAGGGCUUUGGGAGGUCGGGGAGUUCCAUUUCCAUAAAUAGUGCUUUGAGUUGUUAAUUUCUUGAAAUUACACCUCAUAUAAAUGAAUAUCUUCAUAUAUGUUACUGGGAUUUAUCAAGUACUCUGAUGUGCUUGAUUUACAUUGUUUUUCAUUUCAAAUCAAAUACUGUUAUUUACAUUCAGCAGUUUUAUAUUUAGUUGAGGAGCAAAAUGAUUUAGGCAAGUAAUUCAGCCAUCUUCAAAUGUUUUCACAUUUUAAACCCUGACCUCUAUUAUUUGCUGUGGGGAGACUUACUAGGUCAGAGUAACGCCUCUCAGUAUGUGAUUAAAACGUGCACUUUGUCCAUGUCCAUGGAUUUUGUAAUACAAUCCUUUAGCAAUCUGGCAACAUUUCUGGCUUUGUUAGCUGGGUCAUUGCUUAGGAAAAUUCCUGUGCAAUACUGUUGUGGUCUGAUCCAAAUCCCUUCAGAAACAAUAGAAAGGCUUCCAAGGGCUUAAGCCAUGGACAAAUGAGGUUCACGCAAAGGCUGAGCCCCAGCAGGUGAAGCAGAAGGCAGACACUGGUGGGGAAUUGCAGCGUGGCAGAUGCCAACAGGCUCACAAGCUCAUCUCAGUUGUGUCCUGGAACAUGUUUUAAAUUCCCACAAGGGAUGGGGUGGGAAAUGUCCCAGUUUCAGAUGAGCUAACAUUGUUACACAUUGCUUUCAACUUAGUAAUCAUUUCUUUAUUUAGUACAAAUGGUACAAUCACAGAAUGUUAAGGGGUUGGAAUGGACCUUAAAAAUCAUAUAGUGCCAGCCUGCCCUGCCAUGGGCAGAGACACCUGCCACUAGACCAGGUUCCUCAGAGCGCCAUCCAGCCUGGCUUUGAACACUGACAGGGUUGGGGCAGCCACAACCUCCCUGGGGAACCUGUUCCAGUGUCUCACCACCCUCACAGCUGAAAAUUUCUUCUUAAUGUAUACCCUAAAUUUUUCCUUCUUUAAUUCAUACCCAUUAUUCCUUGUCCUAUCACUACAGCUCUGGAUGAAAAAUCAAGGCAGCUUGAGGUAUCCAAUUGUUCUUGUAUCUGUGGCUUCUGUGAAAAUGCAUGAGGAAGGAGAAAGAAUUUGAAAGGGAAAAGCCUUUUUUCUCUCUGACCCUUCUCUAUGCUUAUCCAUUGGCUAAGACAGGUCUUGUGCAUCCCACUCAAGAGGAAAGGGAAUUCUGACUAAAGCCCGUUUAAUCAGGCUGUGCAACUCCUGACAGCCCUGGACAGCUCCAGCAUCCCCGGACAGCGCGGGGCAGAGCUGCAGCCGUGAGCCGCGCUGCGGGAUGGGGGACACGGGGCUGACCCCUCCCAAGGGCCUCUGUAGGGCUGGCAGAGGAUUCCUGCCAGGAGGUUGGGUUUUAGGGGCACUCUGGGGACACAAGGGGCCAAAAACACUCGUGGGACAGCCCCGUUGCCAUCCCACAGCUUGAGCCAGCGUGCCCACAUGGGCAAGGAGGCCAAAGGCAUCCUGGAUUGUAUCAGAAGAGUGUGACCGGCAGGACCAGGGCAGUGGCUGUCCUUUGGUACUCACAAAGUGGUGCUGUUGUGACUCCUUUGGUCACAUCCUCAACACUGUGUCCAGCGCUGUGUCCAGUUCUGGGCCCCUCAGUGCCAGAAGGACAUUGAGGGGCUGGAAUGUGUCCAGAGAAGGGCAACAGAGCUGGGGAAGGGACUGGAGCACCAGGAGCAGCUGAGGUUGCUGGGGGCGUUCAGAAAAAGAGAUCCAAGGGGAAUCUUAUAGCUUUCUACAACUCCCUGAAAGGAGGUUGUAGCCAGGUGCGGGUCGGUCUUCCACGAAACCAGCGACAAGAUGAGAGAAAAUAGCCUUAAGCUGCGCCAGGGAGGUUUAGGCUGGAAAUCAGGAAGUGUAACAGAGAAAGGCUGAUUAGACGCUGGAACGGGCUGCCCCGGGAAGCGGCGGGGUCGCGGUCCCUGGAGGUGUUUGAGGGCAGCCCGGGCGCUGCCCUCAGCGCUGCCCUCAGCGCUGCCC
rnacentral:lncRNA from 1 species